AGUCGAGCGAACAGAUAAGGAGCUUGCUCCUUUGACGUUAGCGGCGGACGGGUGAGUAACACGUGGAUAACCUACCUAUAAGACUGGGAUAACUUCGGGAAACCGGAGCUAAUACCGGAUAACAUAUUGAACCGCAUGGUUCAAUAGUGAAAGGCGGCUUUGCUGUCACUUAUAGAUGGAUCCGCGCCGUAUUAGCUAGUUGGUAAGGUAACGGCUUACCAAGGCAACGAUACGUAGCCGACCUGAGAGGGUGAUCGGCCACACUGGAACUGAGACACGGUCCAGACUCCUACGGGAGGCAGCAGUAGGGAAUCUUCCGCAAUGGGCGAAAGCCUGACGGAGCAACGCCGCGUGAGUGAUGAAGGUCUUCGGAUCGUAAAACUCUGUUAUCAGGGAAGAACAAAUGUGUAAGUAACUGUGCACAUCUUGACGGUACCUGAUCAGAAAGCCACGGCUAACUACGUGCCAGCAGCCGCGGUAAUACGUAGGUGGCAAGCGUUAUCCGGAAUUAUUGGGCGUAAAGCGCGCGUAGGCGGUUUUUUAAGUCUGAUGUGAAAGCCCACGGCUCAACCGUGGAGGGUCAUUGGAAACUGGAAAACUUGAGUGCAGAAGAGGAAAGUGGAAUUCCAUGUGUAGCGGUGAAAUGCGCAGAGAUAUGGAGGAACACCAGUGGCGAAGGCGACUUUCUGGUCUGUAACUGACGCUGAUGUGCGAAAGCGUGGGGAUCAAACAGGAUUAGAUACCCUGGUAGUCCACGCCGUAAACGAUGAGUGCUAAGUGUUA
rnacentral:rRNA from 1 species